rnacentral:rRNA from 1 species
CCAAUCGAACCCGGAGAUAGCUGGUUCUCCUCGAAAUAGCUUUAGGGCUAGCCUCGUGUUAACCUUGUGGAGGUAGAGCACUGAAUAUCCUAGGGGGCGUCAAAGUCUACCGAAGAUUAUCAAACUCCGAAUGCCAUAAAGGUGAUGCACGGGAGUCAGACUGCACGAGAUAAGUUGGGUGGUCAAAAGGGAAAGAGCCCAGACCUACAGCUAAGGUCCCAAAGUGCGUGUUAAGUGGAAAAGGAUGUGGGAUUUCGAAGACAACUAGGAUGUUGGCUCAGAAGCAGCCAUACAUUCAAAGAGUGCGUAAUAGCUCACUAGUCGAGAGGUCCUGCGCCGAAAAUGUCCGGGGCUGAAACACGACACCGAAGCUUAGGACUCCUUUUAGGAGUGGUAGAGGAGCAUUGUUAGCGCAGCGAAGCUGUACCGAUAAGGAGCAGUGGAGUGCUAAGAAGAGAGAAUGCCGGAAUGAGUAGCGAGAGGAAGGUGAGAAUCCUUCCGGCCGAAUAUCCAAGGUUUCCAGAGUAAAGCUGAUCUGCUCUGGGUAAGUCGGGGCCUAAGGCGAGGUCGAAAGACGUAGUCGAUGGAUAACAGGUGGAGAUUCCUGUACUAUGUGUACCCAGAACUGUGGGGACGCAUGUGGAGAGCAUGAGCCGGGAAAGAGAAAACCGGUACAAGCGGGGUAGGAGUAAGGACAGCAAAUCUUCCUUACAAUCCGAAGACGUGAUGUGGACCGAACCAAAGUAGGGAAGCGUGUGAGCCAUGUGCCAAGAAAAGCCGCUAUUGUGAUACACAUACCCGUACCGUAAACCGACACAGGUGGAUGAGGAGAGAAUCCUAAGGCCGACGGAAGAAGCAUUGUUAAGGAACUCGGCAAAAUGACCCCGUAACUUCGGGAGAAGGGGUGCCCUGUGAAAGCAGGGCCGCAGAGAAUAGGCUCAAGCAACUGUUUAGCAAAAACACAGGUCUAUGCGAAACCGAAAGGUGAGGUAUAUGGGCUGACGCCUGCCCGGUGCUGGAAGGUUAAGAGGAGAGGUUAGCGCAAGCGAAGCUUUGAAUUUAAGCCCCAGUAAACGGCGGCCGUAACUAUAACGGUCCUAAGGUAGCGAAAUUCCUUGUCGGGUAAGUUCCGACCCGCACGAAAGG